rnacentral:misc_RNA from 1 species
AAGUCGUAACAAGGUUUCCGUAGGUGAACCUGCGGAAGGAUCAUUACUGAGAGCGGGGCUUCGCGCUCCCGGGGGUCUCGGCCCCCAACUCUUCACCCUUUGUGUACCAACCUUUGUUGCUUUGGCGGGCCCGAGGACCUCCCGCGCCGCAUACAAACCGGCGAGCGCCCGUCAGAGGCCCAUUAAAAUCUGCUUAUCAGUGAUGUCCGAGCGAAAAACACAAUCAAUAAAACUUUCAACAACGGAUCUCUUGGUUCCA